rnacentral:rRNA from 1 species
GACGAACGCUGGCGGCGUGCCUAACACAUGCAAGUCGAGCGAAGUGCUUGGAGAUGAUUUCUUCGGACUGAUUCACCAAGUAUCUUAGCGGCGGACGGGUGAGUAACGCGUGAGAAACCUGCCUUUCACAAAGGGAUAGCCUCGGGAAACUGGGAUUAAUACCUUAUGAAACUGUAUUACCGCAUGGUAGAACAGUCAAAGCGCUUAAGCGGUGAGAGAUGGUCUCGCGUCCCAUUAGCUAGUUGGUGAGAUAAAAGCCCACCAAGGCGACGAUGGGUAGCCGGCCUGAGAGGGUGACCGGCCACACUGGAACUGAGACACGGUCCAGACUCCUACGGGAGGCAGCAGUGGGGAGUAUUGCACAAUGGAGGGAACUCUGAUGCAGCGACGCCGCGUGAGUGAUGAAGGCUUUCGAGUCGUAAAACUCUGUCCUUGGGGACGAUAAUGACGGUACCCAAGGAGGAAGCCCCGGCUAACUACGUGCCAGCAGCCCGCGGUAAUACGUAGGGGGCGAGCGUUGUCCGGAAUUAUUGGGCGUAAAGGGUUCGCAAGCCGGCC